UACGAAGGGGGCUAGCGUUGUUCGGAUUUACUGGGCGUAAAGCGCACGUAGGCGGAUCGUUAAGUCAGGGGUGAAAUCCUGGAGCUCAACUCCAGAACUGCCUUUGAUACUGGCGAUCUUGAGUCCGGAAGAGGUGAGUGGAAUUCCUGGUGUAGCGGUGAAAUGCGCAGAUAUCAGGAAGAACACCCGUGGCGAAGGCGGCUCUCUGGGACGGUACUGACGCUGAGACGCGAAAGCGUGGGGAGCGAACAGG
rnacentral:rRNA from 1 species